AGUUUUUUGCCUAUACAAAUUAAAUCAAAGCACGAUAUUCUGAGGGUUGUUUCUCUCCGAAUAAAUACCAUUUGAGCAAAAUUUUGGCUAAAAUUUUGAGUCCAAUUUUGGGUCCAAUUUUGAGUCCAAUUUUGAGUCCAAUUUUGGGUCCAAUUUUGGGUCCAGUCCAUGGGUCCAGUCCAUGUUUUGUACUAUGCCAUUCAAUUUCUAACAAUACGACAUUUCAAUAGUUUUGUGGGUUUUUUUGGACACCCUGUAGAUGAUCAGAUGCAAUCAGACGCCUUUGAUACAGCUAACUCAUAAAAUGCAUAGAUAUCUUAUAUACUAUAGAUAGCGCAUCUCUUUAAGUAAAAUUGAAGCCAAGAAUAUUCCAGCGGUUACACCAUUUGAAUAGAUGGCGGCCGUGUUGAAGUUUCCCACUCGCUAAUAAACGCUUAAAAAACAACAAUAACUUUCAUCAUUUGAACAGUUUGAAAUUGUAUUUGGAAUAGGUUUAACUUAAUGUUUAAGUUCUCUGUUUAAGAAAUAGAAAACAUACGAGUCUUCUCAUUUCAUGGGAAUAUCCUGAGUCUGCAAUCACGGCUUCAUGAUCAAUUUUUGAAUUGCAGAAUAAAAUGUUGUCCUUUGUAAGCCUUAACCUUAAAUUAACUCUAGGCGUACAUAAUGGGAGCAUUAUUUAAUCAGUUUAGAAAUCAUAUAUGGGGCGCUUUUCUUAGAGACGUGAUAAUAUCUUCUUGCGAGAACAAUUCCUUUACAAAUAGCUGCAAUAUUCAAC